UACCACUUGUUGCCUCGGCGGAUCAGCCCGCUCCCGGUAAAACGGGACGGCCCGCCAGAGGACCCCUAAACUCUGUUUCUAUAUGUAACUUCUGAGUAAAACCAUAAAUAAAUCAAAACUUUCAACAACGGAUCUCUUGGUUCUGGCAUCGAUGAAGAACGCAGCAAAAUGCGAUAAGUAAUGUGAAUUGCAGAAUUCAGUGAAUCAUCGAAUCUUUGAACGCACAUUGCGCCCGCCAGUAUUCUGGCGGGCAUGCCUGUUCGAGCGUCAUUUCAACCCUCAAGCACAGCUUGGUGUUGGGACUCGCGUUAAUUCGCGUUCCUCAAAUUGAUUGGCGGUCACGUCGAGCUUCCAUAGCGUAGUAGUAAAACCCUCGUUACUGGUAAUCGUCGGGGCCACACCGUUAAACCCCAACUUCUGAUUGUUGACCUCGGAUCAGGUAGGAAUCCCCGCUGAACUUAUGAUAUAAA
rnacentral:rRNA from 1 species